CAUACUUAUCAUUAAACAUAUCUGACUUAGAAAAAAUAGGAACAGAAUUGUCAAUCAUGUAAAUUUCAUGUGUGUGUUUGCUGCUCUUGGGGCUGGGAAUAGAGUGCUGGUGGUUGGUUGGUGGUAGUGGCGAUCGUGAUUUCGUUGUGCUACUGCUAAAGUCUGUGUGAAAGGAAAUAAUUUCCUAAUUCCAUUUUUUACCAGACUCAUCUUCCAGAACUAGACACACUUUCAUCAGAAAGAGCCAGAUCCUUUAUAACUUGGCUUAGAGACAAUAGACCAUUAAGCCCAAUUCUUCACGUGGUAAAAGAUGAGAGUCCUGCCAAAACAGAAUUUUUUCAACAUUUGAUUGAAGACCGGACAGAAGCGGCCUUCUCUUACUAUGAGUUUUUGCUUCACGUUCAGCAGCAGAUUUGUAAGUGAAGUGGAAUAAAAUUGAAUACGAAGAAAAAGAUCUAUAAACGAGGUAAAGCAUAAUCUGUCAGAAAAGCACAUAGGAAAUUUGAAAUGAAGGAAUUUGUUGUUCCAAGAGACAGUGCAUAGCGUAGCACCCUGUGUGAGGCUUUGGCACAAGGUAAAGAAGAAGAAAGAAUGGGACAGGUUUUCUUCACCGUAAGUUAAUGGUCAUGAUAGUGCUGUUUCACCAAGUAUAUUUUGAAUUGGUUUCCACACAUUUCCAGUAGUGCAGUAGUACAGUAUCUGUUCAUUGCAAGCCGGCAAACCUAUGUAGCUCUGUGGAAUGGUAUGUCAUGAUGUAAAAUUAGAUAAAUUCCUUUUUCUUAUAAUUAAAGUAACAUUUCUGGACUUGAACUCUGACAAAAGAUGCCAAAAGGCAGUGGUACCAUGUUACUUGUUUAUAUAAAUUACUUUUUAACAAGGAAUGAUUCAUAUUCAUUAAAUGAAUUCAAUAUUUUCCCUGUAAAAACAAUAGUUUCAGAACAUGAACUAUAGAAAAAAAUAUAUAUAUAAUGUAUAUAACUGUUACAUUUGUAAAGAAAAUGUAAAAAUGUAACUACAGAAUAUGAAUUGCAUAAACUGUGCUCCAUCGUUGGAUGACAACUCUUUUUGUCGCAGUUAGAGAAUGAGGUUGACUAAUGCAUAUUAUGAAUUGAGUCCACAGAAGAAACACAAAACUCUUUGUAAUUCUGUUAAAUCUUUUAUGUGGAUUUAUUUAUGAUCAGCCUACUAAUUAAAAUAUUUUGCUUGACAAUAUGGUUUGCUCUUUAUGUGUCUGUGGUGGGGGGAGUUGGUGGUAGUUUUGCAAUUGAAUGCUGGGAAAAUGCAAUGAUAGUUUGUUUCAGUUAGUAUGUGAAUACAUUUUCAGUAGUUUGUGCACAUUACCAAGUACUACUGUAUUCUAAACAAGCUCUACUUUCUUUUUUAUUUUAUUUACUUAUUUUUUAUUUAUUUUAUUUUUAUUUUUUUGUCUUUUUGCCAUUUCUUGGACUGUUCCCGCGGCAUAUGGAGGUUCCCCAGGCUAGGGGUCGAAUCAGAGCUGUAGCCACCGUCCUAUGCCAGAACCAUAGCAAUGCGGGAUCCGAGCUGCAUCUGCAACCUACACCACACUCACGGCAACACCAGAUCCUGAACCCACUGAGCAAGGCCAGGGAUCGAACCUGCAACUUCAUGGUUCCUAGUCGGAUUCGUUAACCACUGAGCCAUGACGGGAACUCCUAAACAAACGCUACUUUCAAAAUACAUAUGAUUAUUAACUAGCCAUAUGUAUUAGUUAAUCAUAAUCACUAAUUAUGAUUAAGAUUAAUCGUCUUAAUUUGUCUUUCUCAAAUAAAUUAGACAUUUUUUUCUGCACAUUCAUAGCAAGAAAAUUUUUAAAACUUGUGUCUAUCCUGUUUAAUUGACUUUAAGAUGCCAUCUUAAACAUUGAGAGUGAUUUUAUUUGGGUGAAAAAAUCUCAUUUACUAACACUGUGUUUACUAUAAAAACUGUUAAUGAUCCAUUAGAUUGUGGAAUAAAAUUU
rnacentral:lncRNA from 1 species